rnacentral:rRNA from 1 species
UAGUCCACGCCGUAAACUAUGGAUACUCGUUGUUGGCGAUAUACUGUCAGUGACCAAGCGAAAGCGUUAAGUUAUCCACCUGGGGAGUACGUUGGCAACAAUGAAACUCAAAGGAAUUGACGGGGGCCCGCACAAGCGGAGGAACAUGUGGUUUAAUUCGAUGAUACGCGAGGAACCUUACCUGGACUUAAAUGUAGGUUGACAGCUUUAGAGAUAGAGUUUUCUUCGGACAAUUUACAAGGUGCUGCAUGGUUGUCGUCAGCUCGUGCCGUGAGGUGUCGGGUUAAGUCCCAUAACGAGCGCAACCCACGUUGUUAGUUACCAGCACAUAAUGGUGGGCACUCUAACAAGACUGCCGGUGUAAACCGCGAGGAAGGUGUGGAUGACGUCAAAUCAGCACGGCCCUUACGUCCAGGGCUACACACGUGUUACAAUGGUCGGUACAGAGGGCAGCUACCUAGUGAUAGGAUGCGAAUCUUUAAAACCGGUCUCAGUUCGGAUCGAAGUCUGCAACCCGACUU